AGUGAACGCUGGCGGUAGGCCUAACACAUGCAAGUCGAACGGCAGCACAGUAAGAGCUUGCUCUUACGGGUGGCGAGUGGCGGACGGGUGAGGAAUACAUCGGAAUCUACUUUUUCGUGGGGGAUAACGUAGGGAAACUUACGCUAAUACCGCAUACGACCUACGGGUGAAAGCAGGGGAUCUUCGGACCUUGCGCGAUUGAAUGAGCCGAUGUCGGAUUAGCUAGUUGGCGGGGUAAAGGCCCACCAAGGCGACGAUCCGUAGCUGGUCUGAGAGGAUGAUCAGCCACACUGGAACUGAGACACGGUCCAGACUCCUACGGGAGGCAGCAGUGGGGAAUAUUGGACAAUGGGCGCAAGCCUGAUCCAGCCAUACCUCGUGGGUGAAGAAGGCCUUCGGGUUGUAAAGCCCUUUUGUUGGGAAAGAAAAGCAGCAGGUUAAUACCCCGCUGUUCUGACGGUACCCAAAGAAUAAGCACCGGCUAACUUCGU
rnacentral:rRNA from 1 species